rnacentral:rRNA from 1 species
GGAUGUGGAAGCGCAGCAAUGCGUUGAGCUAACCCGUACUAAUGGUCCGUGAGGCUUGACCAU